ACAUGCAAGUCGAGGGGCAGCAUGGUCUUUUCUUGCUAAGGCCGAUGGCGACCGGCGCACGGGUGAGUAACACGUAUCCAACCUGCCGUCUACUCUUGGACAGCCUUCUGAAAGGAAGAUUAAUACAAGAUGGCAUCAUGAGUCCGCAUGUUCACAUGAUUAAAGGUAUUCCGGUAGACGAUGGGGAUGCGUUCCAUUAGAUAGUAGGCGGGGUAACGGCCCACCUAGUCUUCGAUGGAUAGGGGUUCUGAGAGGAAGGUCCCCCACAUUGGAACUGAGACACGGUCCAAACUCCUACGGGAGGCAGCAGUGAGGAAUAUUGGUCAAUGGGCGAGAGCCUGAACCAGCCAAGUAGCGUGAAGGAUGACUGCCCUAUGGGUUGUAAACUUCUUUUAUAAAGGAAUAAAGUCGGGUAUGGAUACCCGUUUGCAUGUACUUUAUGAAUAAGGAUCGGCUAACUCCGUGCCAGCAGCCGCGGUAAUACGGAGGAUCCGAGCGUUAUCCGGAUUUAUUGGGUUUAAAGGGAGCGUAGAUGGAUGUUUAAGUCAGUUGUGAAAGUUUGCGGCUCAACCGUAAAAUUGCAGUUGAUACUGGAUAUCCUGAGUGUAGUUGAGGCAGGCGGAAUUCGUGGUGUAGCGGUGAAAUGCUUAGAUAUCACGAAGAACUCCGAUUGCGAAGGCAGCCUGCUAAGCUGCAACUGACAUUGAGGCUCGAAAGUGUGGGUAUCAAACAGGAUUAGAUACCCUGGUAGUCCACACGGUAAACGAUGAAUACUCGCUGUUUGCGAUAUACUGCAAGCGGCCAAGCGAAAGCGUUAAGUAUUCCACCUGGGGAGUACGCCGGCAACGGUGAAACUCAAAGGAAUUGACGGGGGCCCGCACAAGCGGAGGAACAUGUGGUUUAAUUCGAUGAUACGCGAGGAACCUUACCCGGGCUUAAAUUGCAGAUGAAUUACGGUGAAAGCCGUAAGCCGCAAGGCAUCUGUGAAGGUGCUGCAUGGUUGUCGUCAGCUCGUGCCGUGAGGUGUCGGCUUAAGUGCCAUAACGAGCGCAACCCUUGUUGUCAGUUACUAACAGGUUCCGCUGAGGACUCUGACAAGACUGCCAUCGUAAGAUGUGAGGAAGGUGGGGAUGACGUCAAAUCAGCACGGCCCUUACGUCCGGGGCUACACACGUGUUACAAUGGGGGGUACAGAGGGCCGCUACCACGCGAGUGGAUGCCAAUCCCCAAAACCUCUCUCAGUUCGGACUGGAGUCUGCAACCCGACUCCACGAAGCUGGAUUCGCUAGUAAUCGCGCAUCAGCCACGGCGCGGUGAAUACGUUCCCGGGCCUUGUACACACCGCCCGUCAAGCCAUGGGAGCCGGGGGUACCUGAAGUGCGUAACCGCGAGGAGCGCCCUAGGGUAAAACUGGUGACUGGC
rnacentral:rRNA from 1 species